rnacentral:lncRNA from 1 species
UUCAAGAUACAUGCUUCGCUAAACUGGCUGAGGACACACCGGAGCGUUUCCAGUGAGGGCUUUUUAAGGCAUUUAAGAGUCUUGCUAUCUUCAAAAAGUACCCUUGACUUGUUUACACCCUGGGUGAUAAGAAUAAGAAGCUCCGGAUGUAGUGUCAAGAACUUCAGUGCCGCCUCUGUCGUCUGGAUCCCCGGUGAUUGAGAGACUGCAGGAAUUUUUAGAGAUAUGGACUCUGAGGAAUGUUCCCAUGAACCCUGUCUACCCAGAUUGCAACUUGAAUACCGGAACACAUUGUUUGAAUACAUAAUUCAAGGUCAACGAGAAGGUGUUCCAUUGUAUGAUUUAGUCAUG